rnacentral:rRNA from 1 species
UUUCGCAAUGCCCGAAAGGGUGACGAAGCGACGCCGCGUGAGUGAGGAAGGCCUUCGGGUUGUAAAGCUCUGUCAGGAGUUAAGAAAUAUAAGUGUGCUAAUACCACAUUUAUUUGACGAAGGCUCCAAAGGAAGCCACGGCUAACUCUGUGCCAGCAGCCGCGGUAAUACAGAGGUGGGAAGCGUUGUUCGGAAUUAUUGGGCGUAAAGAGCACGUAGGUGGGUUUGUAAGUCAGAUGUGAAAGCCUUCUGUUCAACGGAAGAAUUGCAUCUGAAACUGCUAAUCUUGAGUAUAGGAGGGGAGAGUGGAACUUCUGAUGGAGCGGUGAAAUGCGUAGAUAUCAGAAGGAACGCCGGCGGCGAAAGCGACUCUCUGGCCUAUUACUGACACUCAGUGUGCGAAAGCUAGGGGAGCAAACGGGAUUAGAUACCCCGGUAGUCCUAGCCGUAAACGAUGGGCACUAAGUAGAGGGGUUUUA